GUUGGGGAAUGCAACCUUUUCAUCAAAGAGAGUAGGACUUAUAAUUUCAAGUCCACUGCCGGAUGCCAUGUUUGAAGUUGCAUAAUUGGAGACAAAUGUGGUCAUUUGAGGACAGUUUUGUAUGCACAGCUCUUUCAAGGCAGGGCAUUCAACUAAAGUACUAGUGCAGAAUCGUGUGAGUUUUGGAAGAUCUUUAAGCUUCAGGGACUCUAGUUGAUGG
rnacentral:misc_RNA from 1 species